CCAGCCGGGACCCCGCAGAACCGAAAGUGUAGCCUUCACACAUCAAUUCGAGGCCCCGUGGAGCGGGGGGCAGGGGAUGGUGGUGCCCUCCGCGUACUGGGCCUGUCGCGCGUGGGAACACACAUAAGAGGGAGGCAGGAAUCAGUCUUCUUGGUUUAUUAAAAUCAUGACUCUGAGAAGAAAGACUAUGAAAAACUUGGUUAUAAGAAAAACUUUGAUGUUCUUAUUUUACUGAGUGGUAAAGAAUCCGCCUGACAAUGCAGGAGACACGGGUUCGAUCCCUGGGUCGAGAAGAUCCCCAGGUCGAGAAGAUCCCCUGGAGAAGGCAACCCACUCCAGUAUUCUUGCCUGGCAAAUCCCACAGACAGAGGAGCCUGGCAGGCUACCGUCCACGGGGAUGCAAAAGAACUGGACACGACCUAUCAACUAAACAGCAACAAUUAUUAACUAUAGUCACUGUGUCAUAUACACACCCUUAAGACUUAUCUUUGGAAGAUUGUAACUUUGACUAUCUUCACACCUUUCACCCAACCCCCCACCUUGGCAACCACCAGUCUCUUCUGUCUAUAAAUUCAUUAAAAACAAUUCUACCUGUGAGUGAGAUCAUAUGGUAUUUGUCUGGCUUAUUUCACUUAGCUUAAUAGUCUGUUUAUCUUCCAUUUUAAAAAAUUCAUUCAUCCGUUGGUGGACCCUUAUGUUGCUCCCAUGUCUUGGCUGUUGUCAAUAAUAUUGCAGUUAACAUGAAGUGCAUGUAUCUUUUCAGGUUAGUGUUUUGUUUCCUUCAGAUAAAUACCUGAAUGAAAUUACUAGAUCAUAUGCUAGCUUUAUUUUUAAUUUCUUGAGGAACUUCCAUACUGUUUCCCAUAGUGGCUGUACCAGUUUACAUUCAUAGCAACCGUUCGUAAGGGUUUGAAUUCUUCUAUAUCCUCACCAAUGCUUGUUACUUUUUGUCUUUUUGGUAAAAGCUGUUCUAACAGGUGUGAGGUGAUAUUUCAUUGUGGUUUUGAUUGCAUUUCCCUGAUGAUUAUUUCCAAGUUUCCUUUUGCAUGUUAUUAUUAGACUAGUAUAAUUUUGUUAUUUAAUCUCAUUGAGGACUUCCCUGGUGGCUCAGACGGUAAAGCAUCUGUCUACAAUGCGGGAGACCUGGGUUCGAUCCCUGGGUCGGGAAGAUCCCCUAGAGAAGGAAAUGGCAACCCACUUCAGUAUUCUUGCCUGGAGAAUCCCAUGGACUGAGGAGCCUGGUGGGCUGCAGUCUAUGGGGUCACAAAGAGUCGGACACGACUGAGUGACUUUACUUACUUAAUCCCAUUGAUAAUCCUCUGAUAUGCUAUAUGGACUGCAUGGCUAGGCGUAAUGAAAAGUAAUAGAAAAAUGAAUGAAAACUUAGCCUUGGAUACUGAAUGGCACUAAACCAUUAAUUUAAUUAAUAGAGAACUCUUUUGGAACUUUUUCAUGAGCAAAAUCUCUUUCCUACCAGUGUCCCUGGGAGCAAACAAAGUUAGUUGGCAUAAGAGGGAAAUGAAACUUCUGUCACAGACUGAAUAAUGGUUCCCAAACAUGUCCACUGGAGUCGGAAAUGGCUCCCCACUCCAGUCUCCUUGCCUGGGAAAUCCCAAGGGCAUAGGAGCCUGGUGGACUGCAGUCCCUGGGAUCGCAAGAGUCAGACACAACUUAGCAAUCAAACGACAACAAAGCAUGUCCGCAUCCUGACCCCCACACCCUGUGAAUAUGUCACCUUCUACAGCAAAAAAGGACGUUCGAGAUGUGCUUGAGUUAGGAUCCUGAGGUAGGGAGGUGGUUCUGGAUUACCUGGGUGUCCCAAGGCAGUCACAGGGGUGCUUAUAAGAUGGGUACGAGACGGCUCAGGGUCAGAGAAGAAGGUGAUGGGAUGACAGAAGCACCGACGGGAGUAAUGGGCUUUGGAGACGGAGGAAGAAGCCCUGAGUCAAGAAAAAGAGGUGGUUACAGAAGCUGAAAAAGGCAAGAAUACAGAUUCUCCCCUGAGGGCCUCCGCAAGGAGCCAGCCCAACCAACACCUUGGCUUUAGCUCUGUGAAAUGGAUUUUGCACUUUUGACCUCCAAAGCUUUAAGAGAAUGAAUGUGUGUUUCCAGCAACUGUAUUUGUGGUGCUUUGUUACGGUGACACUAGGGCAUGAAUACAUGUUAGGUGGCAAGAAGUUUAGGACAUCUCCUGUGUCUUUGGAGAGGGUGACUUAAUCUGAUUGGUAAAUUCUGGAAUAAUGAAUAGGGCAUCAUUGGCUUCAUUCUCCUUCCUCUUUAGGAGCCCAGUCAGCUCAAGAAAACACAGUUCUGUUUCUUGCAAGAUAGGAUGCCAUCCAUGUGAUAAAACCUGCCCCCGUGGUACGGCUGGACCUGGAUGGUUGAGGUUAUAUAAUUCUGUGGUUCAGUAUUAGUAAACUCAUCUGGCUUUUGUGCUAAGCUACGUUCCCUAGUAGCUGGAUCAGUGUGAGGUGAUAUCUUGGUCAGGCAGAAUCUAUCUAUGAAAACAAUGACUUACAUAAAACUGAUAUGCAGGAUCUGUAGGGAAAAGAUGAACUCAUAUCAGUGAUGCUGGGACAGCUCAUUAUACAUAAUUAGAACUCUAGCUCAGAUCAUAUACUCAAAAUGAAUUCCAGAUAAGAACCCAAAGUGAAAAGCAAUUUUUAGAAGAAAAAAAAUUUUUAUGGUUAUGCCUUUUAAGGUGAGAGAAAGCCCCAAACCCAAACUACAAAGGAAGAAGUUGAUCAUUUCAACUACAGUAAAAUGAAAAAAAGUCUGUUUAUUAAAAGACAUCAUAAAAAUUGAUUAUAACACGUUAAAAUGUAAAAGGAGACAUUUGUAACAUAAGGAUUAGUAUCCAGAUUUUAUAAACAACUCCUACAAAUCAAUAAAAUACAAAUAACUUAUUGCGGAAAAAGAGGCAAAAAAUAAAAAAAAUUUCACAAAAAUGAUGAACUUUAUUAGGAAUCGUAAAAAGGAAAAUAAAAACAAGUGAUUCAAUUUUUCAGCCAGUUUGGCAAAAAUAAAUACAAAAGUGAAGAAACCAAUUGCUGGUGAGAGUAUGGAAUUAUAGUUGGAACUAUUAUGUACCCCCCUGGAAAGAAUAUAAAUUGGUAUUAUGUCUACUUUUUAAAAAACAUUUAUUUGGCUGUGUCAGGUCUUAGUUGCGACAUGUAGCCUCUUUAGUUACAUCAUGCGGGAUCUAGUUUCCUGACCAGGGAUUAAACCCUGGCUGCCUGGAUUGGGAGCACUGCAUCUUAGCCAGUGGACCACCAGGGAAGUCCUGAUACAUUACCUUAGAGAGCAAUUUGGUGAUUUCUUAAAAAAUCAAUUAGAAAAAUAGAAGUGUUCUUAAUGCAUGUAAUCUAGGGCCUAGGAUUCCACUCAGAGGCAUGUACUUUGAAGAAACUCUUAGCAUAGUAAGUCAACAAGACUUGGCCAAGAAUGUUCACAGCAGCAUGUGCUGUGCUGUGCUUAGUCGCUCAGUCGUGUCCGACUCUUUGUGACCCC
ensembl:lncRNA